AUUGAACGCUGGCGGCAGGCCUAACACAUGCAAGUCGAACGGUAACAGGAAGCAGCUUGCUGCUUUGCUGACGAGUGGCGGACGGGUGAGUAAUGUCUGGGAAACUGCCUGAUGGAGGGGGAUAACUACUGGAAACGGUAGCUAAUACCGCAUAAUGUCGCAAGACCAAAGAGGGGGACCUUCGGGCCUCUUGCCAUCGGAUGUGCCCAGAUGGGAUUAGCUAGUAGGUGGGGUAACGGCUCACCUAGGCGACGAUCCCUAGCUGGUCUGAGAGGAUGACCAGCCACACUGGAACUGAGACACGGUCCAGACUCCUACGGGAGGCAGCAGUGGGGAAUAUUGCACAAUGGGCGCAAGCCUGAUGCAGCCAUGCCGCGUGUAUGAAGAAGGCCUUCGGGUUGUAAAGUACUUUCAGCGGGGAGGAAGGCGAUAAGGUUAAUAACCUUGUCGAUUGACGUUACCCGCAGAAGAAGCACCGGCUAACUCCGUGCCAGCAGCCGCGGUAAUACGGAGGGUGCAAGCGUUAAUCGGAAUUACUGGGCGUAAAGCGCACGCAGGCGGUCUGUCAAGUCGGAUGUGAAAUCCCCGGGCUCAACCUGGGAACUGCAUUCGAAACUGGCAGGCUAGAGUCUUGUAGAGGGGGGUAGAAUUCCAGGUGUAGCGGUGAAAUGCGUAGAGAUCUGGAGGAAUACCGGUGGCGGAGGCGGCCCCCUGGACAAAGACUGACGCUCAGGUGCGAAAGCGUGGGGAGCAAACA
rnacentral:rRNA from 1 species